UACGUAGGGGGCAAGCGUUGUCCGGAAUCAUUGGGCGUAAAGCGCGUGUAGGCGGCUCGAUAAGUCCGCUCUGAAAGCCCGGGGCUCAACCCCGGGAGGCGGGUGGAUACUGUCGAGCUCGAGUCCGGAAGAGGCAAGUGGAAUUCCCGGUGUAGCGGUGAAAUGCGCAGAUAUCGGGAGGAACACCAAUGGCGAAGGCAGCUUGCUGGGACGGUACUGACGCUGAGACGCGAAAGCGUGGGGAGCAAACAGG
rnacentral:rRNA from 1 species